rnacentral:lncRNA from 1 species
CCCUGCCUCUAAUCCUCUGAAUCCCCUUUCUCUAGGCUGGGCUGGUUUCUUGUGUGGAUGCCAUGUACACCAUCGUGUGGGGUCAGAGCCCUCUGAGAGGAGCCCAGCCUUCCUCCCUCCUCAUUCCCCUGUCUUCAUUCCAGAGAGAAGGGGUUGGGGGAAUUUCUGAAUAACCGCCCCCAGCUCCUCAAGAGGGCCCUAGUUUCCACACUAUUCUCUAGGUCCUUGUCCACUUCUGGACUCUUCCCUGUGACUCAGGGCCUAGACUCUCUGGGAAUGGAGAGGGAGAGGAAUGUGGCACAAGGGAGCUGACUUGGGGGCUAUUUCUGACUCUGGAGUCAUCAGCUGCUCAGUCACAGACGAGGGUGGCAGUGAGGUAGGGGUAUCACAUUUGCCUCCUCUUUGCUCCCUGGAAGAGCCUGAGGGACCUGGUGGGCUUCAGAGAUGCGGGCACUUGGACCGGUAUGGAGGGAAGUUGGGGAACACCCACAGCUCAUACGGAAGAGGCUUCCUGGGUACCAGGGAUCAAACUCAGGACCUUGUGCUUUCGAGGCAGGCAUCGUCGGCACCACUGAGCUAAAUCCCUGGCCCCUGUUUAUUUAUUUUUUUGAAACAGAGUCUCACUAUGUGGUUCAGCCUGGCCUUGAACUCAUUGUGUAGCCCAGGCUGGCCUCGAAUUCACAGCAGAGGCUAUUUAAAUAAUACCGAAGUAAAAUGAAAUAGUCUGUUCCUCUGUUAUACUACCACAUUUUAGGUGUUCUGUAGAGAUGUGUGGCUAGAAACUACUAUAUUGGACAGUUCAGAUUUCCAUCACUGCAGAAGUUUCUGCAGGAUAAUGCUAUUAUAGACACUAAAACUUUUAUGUACAGUGCUUCUCUUUUUGUCUUUGCUAACAGAAAGCUCCAAGCCAAAUCUCUAGGUUUCCAGCAAAAGACUUUACGGCUUGCAUCCUAUGGAAUGAGAAUGACUAAAUCAUCUCAGCUGUCUCAGAAGAGUUCCCCAGAACAAGGGACUUUCAGUUUUGUUUUGUUUUGUUUGGUACUGGGAAUUGAACUCAGGGCCUCGAAUUUGCCAGGCAGGUGCUGCACUACUGAGCUAUAUCCUGGGCUCAGACUUUCAGGG